GCCGAUGCUUAUUCUUCAGGUACACGUCAUUUUAUUCCUCCCUGAAAAAAGAGGUUUACAACCCAUAGGCAGUCUUCCCUCACGCGGUAUUGCUCCGUCAGGCUUCCGCCCAUUGCGGAAAAUUCCC
rnacentral:rRNA from 1 species